UACAGAGGUCCCAAGCGUUGUUCGGAUUCAUUGGGCGUAAAGGGUGCGUAGGCGGCGCGGUAAGUCGGGUGUGAAAUCUCGGAGCUUAACUCCGAAACUGCAUUCGGUACUGCCGUGCUUGAGGACUGGGGAGGAGACUGGAAUUUACGGUGUAGCGGUGAAAUGCGUAGAUAUCGUAAGGAAGACCAGUGGCGAAGGCGGGUCUCUGGACAGUUCCUGACGCUGAGGCACGAAGGUCAGGGGAGCAAACGGG
rnacentral:rRNA from 1 species